ACAAGCAUGGCGUAUCUAGCAUGAAGCGAUGUAACACAACGAAUGUACACACAUCUUGUAAACAUCAUAAUUUUAAAGACAAAAUCAAUACUCAUACAGCGUGUUUUCUUUUAAGUGAUGAAAUAAACUAGAGUGAUUAUAUUUGUUUUGUUUAAUCAGUGAACACAGCAUCAAUGGCUUUUACAAUCACUGGUCAACCCGGAAUGACAGGGUUUAUUUUCCGUUAACCUGAGCACACCCACAGUGAACACAGCAUCAAUGGCUUUGACAAUCACUGGUCAACCCGGAAUGACAGGGUUUAUAUUCCGUUAACCUGAGUACACCAACAGCCUUAUACUGAUGACAGAGGGAGGAAACAAUAACAAUGAAUCAGAGUCUGAAGCAGUCCCACGCUCUUUCAGUUCGUCCAGUCUUCCAUUAACGGUUCGACAAAAGAACUUCAUCAGCCAAGGGAAUGCCACAGUCUUCGGGGAAGAAAACAUGGCUUCAUCUGGAGAGAGCUUUAAGAUCUACUAUGACUGCAAAGUAAGAAAGCCCAGAUGGUCCUAUGAUGACUCAACAAUGGAUGACAAGGAAAACACAAGAACACCUUUUUAAGACGAGGUCCACUUUUGAGAACUUUGACUGGAAAUCAUAGUGCUUCAUUUGUGGCGAAAAGUGCAGCCGUCAUAGAGACAUUACAUCAAGAGGUUUUAGCAGAAGUUGGUCCAUAGGACCAAACAAAAAAAUACCGAAGUAUGCGCGUCCUAGAAAUUGGACCAUAUUCCGUUUCUUGUUGAAUUCCCAAAUGCGCAUAAUUAAAUUUGUAAUCCGAAA